UAAUACGUAGGGACCAAGCGUUGUCCGGAAUUAUUGGGCGUAAAGAGCUCGUAGGCGGCUGUCCACGUCGGGUGUGAAAGCUCAGGGCUCAACCCUGAGACGCCAUUCGAUACGGGACGGCUAGAGGUAGGUAGGGGAGAUUGGAAUUCCUGGUGUAGCGGUGAAAUGCGCAGAUAUCAGGAGGAACACCGGUGGCGAAGGCGGAUCUCUGGGCCUUACCUGACGCUGAGGAGCGAAAGCUGGGGGAGCAAACAGGAUUAGAUACCCUGGUAGUCCCAGCCGUAAACGUUGGGCGCUAGGUGUGGGGAGGUCUUCAACCCUUUCCGUGCCGCAGCUAACGCAUUAAGCGCCCCGCCUGGGGAGUACGGUCGCAAGACUA
rnacentral:rRNA from 1 species